rnacentral:ncRNA from 1 species
UGAAAACGUGCUGCGUCUUCGGAUGUGGUGGGCGCAUUCACGACGGUGUGUCGCAUUUUAAAUUUCUGGGAGAAUUUACGGAUUGGGAGCUCUUCUUGAGUCGGUGGAUGGUGGAACCAUGUCCGGUCUUAGUUGGUGGAGUGAUUUGUCUGGUUGAUUCCGAUAACGAAACCACCUUGCACCCUUCUUAGAGAGACAAGCGGCUCCUAGCCGCACGAAACAGAGCAAUAACAGGUAUGUGAUGCCCUUAGAUGUCCGGGGGCGCACGCGCGCUAC